GUUUUUAUAACAAGUAAAUAAAUAGCUUGUUGCUGGAAAUAAAUAGCUUGUUGUUGGAAAUAAAUAGCUUGUUGUUGGAAAAUUGCUUGUGAUAGUUACAUCAACUGUUUAUAAAUGAUUUUUGCAGCAUUACAUGAACUGUUUAUAGAUGAUUUUUGCAGCAUAAAUUACCAUUCUGUUUAACAAAGACAUAAUUUUACUGUUGCUACAUACAACAAGAAACUGCACCCGGCAGAAAGAACUAAUUUCGAUUCAUCCGGAAGUUUAGUUCAUACAUCCGUAAAUUGCAAUCGGAAAGAGCUGAAACCUAUUUUUAGUGCAGUUGGAAAGAACUGAAUUGUUUUUUAGUCUUUUCACACAGUAUAACUGGUACUGAAUUUAAUAAGUUUAUUAAUUUUUAUUUAUUUUAUAUUAAAUUUGUUUUAUAUUAGAUAUAUUUUAACGUAUUUUAGCAUGGAAAACUGACUGUAAUUUGUUGACACAAAAGUGAUCAACAAAUUACAGUCAGUAAUUUGUCGAUCCUUUACUUAAAUAAUUUUGUACAUUGUAGACUAGAUUCUUUAUUUAAAUAAAAAUAACUAAUGUAAA